rnacentral:snoRNA from 1 species
AGUGUCUGUUCUAAAACCAGUGAGCUUUUUCUAUCUCUCUGGCUUCGCUUUCAGACUAAAUGAAACUCUUACAACUUAUCCUAGUAUAAUUGUUCCUAAAAUGAUAAUUGUACUGGCAUUUGUAAGAAACAAGUUU